GAUAAAGCAGUAAGCCUGCACUUACAUCAAUUAGCAGCCCUGGAUAAUGCACAUCAGGCCUUAACAGUCUGCAGAUUUCUCUUGGUGCUUGCCACCUCCCUGCUUAUCCCUGACUGUUCUUUUACUGGUCUUAAUUACACCCGGCUGCCUUAAGACAGCUACCACUCAUGUGACAGUGAUGAAAGGAGACAUUCGAGACUACAAUCUGCUCCUUGCUGCCAUGCAGGGCGUUCACGUGGUUAUCCACACAGCUGCUAUUGUGGACUGCAGAAACAUGUUGCCCUUUUGGGAAAUGAAAGCUGUCAAUGUUGGGGGCACUGAAAAUGUGUUAAGGGCCUGCUGUGCCCUGAACAUCCCAUAUGUUGUCUACACAAGCUCCAUUGCUGCGGUGGGACCCAACAUUUUGCACGAGCCCAUGCUCAGAGGAAACGAGGACACCAAAUACAGCGGGGAAGUGGAGCUACCUUAUGGGAAGACAAAGGCCAUAGCAGAAAGACUUGUAUUAGAAGCCAAUGGGAAAAAGCUCAGCAACGGUGGUAAACUUCUAACCUGCGUCAUCCGUGCAAACACAGUAUAUGGGGAGAAAGCAAUGUUUCUUCACGAGUUGUAUUUGUCUGCUAAAGCCCAUAAUGGCGUGUUGAACUAUCUGGAGCCUGAACACACAGAGCGCAAUUCCACGUAUGUGGGGAAUGUCGCAUGGAUGCACGUUCUCGCAGCCAGGCACCUGCAGCUGAAACCAGACAUACUCGCUGGGCAGGUGUAUUAUUCCUAUGAUGACACUCCGACAACAAAAAGUUUUCUGAUCAGGUAUCAGCUCAUGUCCUGUAUGGACCCCUCAAUAAGACUGGGCUCACACAUCCCAUACUGGAAGAUGUGGUUGCUGAUACACCUGCACAGAAUAAUCGAGGUCAUCCUGUCCCCUUUCUGGAAGCUACGGCCUUCCCUAAACUUCCCUUUGCUGCACACGAUAGUCACCACCUUCUCCUAUGAGACAGACAAAGCCUUCAGGCACUUUGGGUACAAGCCCCUCUACAGCUGGCAGGAGAGCAAGCUCCGAACGGCGCGGUGGCUGGAAAAGGCUGUGGGGAACCCAUCCCUUCAGUGAUGGAAAGGACCCUUCCUAAAGAUCCUGUCAUCCUUCAUACGUGGCCUAUUACAUCUGUUUUGAAAUAUUAUCCCUAUAAAAAUAAACUCCCAUUCCCUUGCACUGACAGUGCAGGGGUUGACUUGCAUUCCAGCCCCAUGGUUGGAUGUCUACAAGCUCAGGCAGUUUGCAGUUGAGCUCGGAGAAAUGGGCUGUUUUUUACAGCAGUGGUUAAAAUCCAAAAUUAAUUCUGUCGGUUUGAGACUGUUUAAGUACUUCUGUGUUCCGUGAACGUGUAAUCAUCUCUUGAGUUUUCCUACAGUUGAAGUGUACAUAUGCACAAAUAAAAGCUCAUUUUAAUUACU
rnacentral:lncRNA from 7 species